ensembl:lncRNA
GUUAACGUUAGCUAACUGCUAUUGUUAACGUUAGCUAAUGGAUAACGUUAGCUAACAGCUAAAGUUAACGUUAGCUAACUUGUGUUAGCUAAAUGUUUUAAAUACAUUUAAAUUUGACUUUGUUGACUGGAUUUGCCCUCCUAUUUUUGCUGUACACUAGCUAUUUAUCUCUGAAAUUUCAGAUCUGCAAGUUCAUAAAUAUUGUAUCACGAGUCCGAAUGUUGUGAGCAGAUUUUCUGCAAAAGCUCACCCAAGAAUAGGGAUGCUAUCAUGAAAAACAAAGUGCUGGCAAAAAAGAGGCUACGGGUUCCCACUCAGAAAAUUGAAGGACCUGAGCUCCCCUCCCCCAAAUGAGCAAUCUGGUAAGUAUUAACGUAAUAGUUUGUUAUAUACGGGGGUAAUAAUCAUAACAUUAAUAAUGUCUAAAAAUACCAGUCUAAAUUGUUGUGGCCAAAUAGAAAUUCAUUUCCAUCGGUGAAUCCAUCACCUGACGGGGGACAUGCAACAGGCCGCAACACAGCUGGACCACCACCCUAUGGAUACAGGCCGGGUCAGAGAGCUUCAGACUCUCUGCGACUUAAUUGGAGAGAGAUCUGGUGGCAGCCUAGCUUCACCAUCAAGCCAGCAGGAGCUGUUUCCUGGGAGCGGCCAAUUCAUCUCAUCAUUCCGCCUGGCUGCCAUGAAUCACGCAUCAAAACCAAAUUGCAUGCGUCUGUUUCAUGCACUUUUUGAUAAUUUCUUCACUGUUGAGGAGUGUCAAAAUGCAGUGCCCUUUGGUCACCCUGGAAACAACCCCUCAGGAAAGGAAGGAAAGCCGGUCCUUGACUGUAAAAAAGUUGACUGAAUCCUAAAUGUGCAACUCUACCGGACUGGGAACCAAUUGAGGAGGCCAAGCUAUGUGGACCGCGAUCUCUCUCUCUUUUGUGUGUGUGUGUGUGUGUGUGUGUGUCACACAAAUGCAGUUUUCAAUAUUGAGUAUUG